UACGGAGGGAGCUAGCGUUGUUCGGAAUUACUGGGCGUAAAGCGCACGUAGGCGGCUUUGUAAGUUAGAGGUGAAAGCCCGGGGCUCAACUCCGGAAUUGCCUUUAAGACUGCAUCGCUUGAAUCCAGGAGAGGUCGGUGGAAUUCCCGGUGUAGUGGUGAAAUGCGUAGAGAUCGGGAGGAACACCUGUGGCGAAGGCGGCCGACUGGGCCGACCCUGACGCUGAGGCGCGAAGGCGUGGGGAGCGAACGGG
rnacentral:rRNA from 1 species